rnacentral:piRNA from 1 species
UGCAAUGAAUCCACGCUGAGCAACCUGAGU